GACGAACGCUGGCGGCGUGCUUAACACAUGCAAGUCGAACGGAAAGGCCCUGCUUGCAGGGUACUCGAGUGGCGAACGGGUGAGUAACACGUGGGUGAUCUGCCCUGCACUUCGGGAUAAGCCUGGGAAACUGGGUCUAAUACCGGAUAGGAGCCAUUUUUAGUGUGAUGGUUGGAAAGUUUUUUCGGUGUAGGAUGAGCUCGCGGCCUAUCAGCUUGUUGGUGGGGUAAUGGCCUACCAAGGCGGCGACGGGUAGCCGGCCUGAGAGGGUGGACGGCCACAUUGGGACUGAGAUACGGCCCAGACUCCUACGGGAGGCAGCAGGGGGGAAUAUUGCACAAUGGGCGCAAGCCUGAUGCAGCGACGCCGCGGUGGGGAUGACGGCCUUCGGGUUGUAAACUCCUUUCGCUAGGGACGAAGCUGUUUGUGACGGUACCUAGAGAAGAAGCACCGGCUAACUACGUG
rnacentral:rRNA from 1 species